rnacentral:misc_RNA from 1 species
CGCCCCUCAAGUCCCCUGUGGACUUGGUGUUGGGGAUCGGCGAGGCUGGUUUUCCAGCACAGCCGUCCCUUAAAUUAAUUGGCGGUCUCGCCGUGGCCCUCCUCUGCGCAGUAGUAAAGCACUCGCAACAGGAGCCCGGCGCGGUCCACUGCCCGUAAAACCCCCCUAACUUUUUAUAG